rnacentral:rRNA from 1 species
AAAUUGAAGAGUUUGAUCAUGGCUCAGAUUGAACGCUGGCGGCAGGCCUAACACAUGCAAGUCGAACGGUAACAGGAAGCAGCUUGCUGCUUCGCUGACGAGUGGCGGACGGGUGAGUAAUGUCUGGGAAACUGCCUGAUGGAGGGGGAUAACUACUGGAAACGGUGGCUAAUACCGCAUAACGUCGCAAGACCAAAGAGGGGGACCUUCGGGCCUCUUGCCAUCAGAUGUGCCCAGAUGGGAUUAGCUUGUUGGUGAGGUAACGGCUCACCAAGGCGACGAUCCCUAGCUGGUCUGAGAGGAUGACCAGCCACACUGGAACUGAGACACGGUCCAGACUCCUACGGGAGGCAGCAGUGGGGAAUAUUGCACAAUGGGCGCAAGCCUGAUGCAGCCAUGCCGCGUGUAUGAAGAAGGCCUUCGGGUUGUAAAGUACUUUCAGCGGGGAGGAAGGUGUUGUGGUUAAUAACCGCAGCAAUUGACGUUACCCGCAGAAGAAGCACCGGCUAACUCCGUGCCAGCAGCCGCGGUAAUACGGAGGGUGCAAGCGUUAAUCGGAAUUACUGGGCGUAAAGCGCACGCAGGCGGUCUGUCAAGUCGGAUGUGAAAUCCCCGGGCUCAACCUGGGAACUGCAUUCGAAACUGGCAGGCUUGAGUCUUGUAGAGGGGGGUAGAAUUCCAGGUGUAGCGGUGAAAUGCGUAGAGAUCUGGAGGAAUACCGGUGGCGAAGGCGGCCCCCUGGACAAAGACUGACGCUCAGGUGCGAAAGCGUGGGGAGCAAACAGGAUUAGAUACCCUGGUAGUCCACGCCGUAAACGAUGUCUACUUGGAGGUUGUGCCCUUGAGGCGUGGCUUCCGGAGCUAACGCGUUAAGUAGACCGCCUGGGGAGUACGGCCGCAAGGUUAAAACUCAAAUGAAUUGACGGGGGCCCGCACAAGCGGUGGAGCAUGUGGUUUAAUUCGAUGCAACGCGAAGAACCUUACCUGGUCUUGACAUCCACAGAAGAAUCCAGAGAUGGAUUUGUGCCUUCGGGAACUGUGAGACAGGUGCUGCAUGGCUGUCGUCAGCUCGUGUUGUGAAAUGUUGGGUUAAGUCCCGCAACGAGCGCAACCCUUAUCCUUUGUUGCCAGCGAUUA